CCUACGGGAGGCAGCAGUGAGGAAUAUUGGUCAAUGGCCGUAAGGCUGAACCAGCCAAGUCGCGUGAAGGAAGAAGGAUCUAUGGUUUGUAAACUUCUUUUAUAGGGGAAUAAAGGUAUCCACGUGUGGAUAUUUGCAUGUACCCUAUGAAUAAGCAUCGGCUAACUCCGUGCCAGCAGCCGCGGUAAUACGGAGGAUGCGAGCGUUAUCCGGAUUUAUUGGGUUUAAAGGGUGCGUAGGUUGUUUGUUAAGUCAGCGGUGAAAGUUUGUGGCUCAACCAUAAAAUUGCCGUUGAAACUGGAGGGCUUGAGUAUGUUAGAGGCAGGCGGAAUGUGUGGUGUAGCGGUGAAAUGCUUAGAGAUCACGCAGAACCCCGAUUGCGAAGGCAGCCUGCCAAGCCAUGACUGACGCUGAUGCACGAAAGCGUGGGGAUCAAACAGGAUUAGAUACCCUUGUAGUC
rnacentral:rRNA from 1 species